CUGAUCUUCCUGAACUAGUGCAGGCAGGCAGUUAUUUGGUGGCUAGAGCAAGAACUGAAAGUCAAGUGACUCCUGACUCUGAAAAGGAACCUCUCUGUGGCCAUGAUGUCACCAUCUGUUUACUCAUCUGUAAAAGAGGGAUACUGCUACUUAUUUUUGUAACAAGCUUUUUGGGAUCCUCUGAAAGGGAUGGGCUAGGAAGUGUGGAGGACACACAGCUAGGCUCAAGCUAUUAGGCCCAGACGCUGGUAUAAAAGGAAAUGGAAACAGACGGUAGGAGAUGUAACAGGAUCAAGGAAGGAGAAAAUGGUGAUUGGGUCGGACAAGAACUAAAAGGAGCAAGAACUUUUACUGAACAUUGAUGGAGAGUAAGGCACAGAAAGAUCAAGUGACUUGCCCAAGAUCACACAGGAAGUCCGUAAAACUGAGCCAGGAGUUGAACCCAGAUCACCCUUCUUCUCUGCAAUGUGGAAAGCUGCCAUCUUAAAAUUCUUCUUGUCCAUGAGCUCCUGCAAAAAAAUACCCUUCCUUCCCGCUGCACAAGACCAAGGCUGUUUUUUUGCUACUAUAUGCAUCUUUGAGCCACAUGUCAAUACAAGAAAGUUGACACGGCUGUAAUGUAGGAACUUUUGCUAUAGUUGUUCAGGCUAAGUAAGAGAUUCCUUUUUAUGUCUUUCAUCUUACUGAAUGUGUUCCAACCUCGUUUUACUGAACUUAAAAUUCUUUCCACAUGUUUUCAAUUUGACCUGAGAAAGGUCCAAGAUGCAUGUAGCAGUAUUCUUCUAGUUCUUUAAUGCUAUGCCUCUGUAUACUAAUUUGGUUUAGUUAUGUGACUAUUGGGCCUGUUUUAGCUUUCCUUAAAUUUCAUCUGAGGCAUGCAUUCUGGCUUUUGUAGUUCAGGUUCUAUGCCAGGUCUUAACCAUUGUGUAUUGUUUGUGACUAGAAUUAUAAGCAUAAACAUACUCUAAAUCUCACUUUUAAAGACUCUUCAUCUUUGCCAAAUCCAGUCUAUAGAACAUGGUCUCUAGAUGGUUUAAAUCAUGAAGACCUCUGAUAGAACAGUAACUCCCUGUGCUCUUUUUACUCUAGUCAAGCAUGAGAUAUGGCAAAUCAAUGUCAUACAAUUCACUUGACCACAAAUUGCAAGAAAACACAAAAAUAGAAAGUUCUUUAUAUGUUAUGUGAGCUUUUACUUUAAACAAAGAUUAAAAAGGAGACUUUUAGAGCUACCAUUUACAGGUGUGAACUAAAGAUCGAAAGGUAAAAUCUUGGUCCUGUUGAAGUCAAUGGCAAAACUCCCAUUGGCUUCAGAAGGAUUUCACACCAAGGUUCCUGAUUCUGUUCUGUCCUGAGUGCUGAAGGAUUUCACUCCACUGAGUGCAGCUCUGCAAACACUACAUACACCAAGACCUCACCUAUGCCAGUCCUCAGAAAGGAAUUAGAAGAAGUGACAUUUUAGUCUUGUCAGCUCUAACAGUACACCAAUAAAUAAAGAUUGGUUUGCUAUUUGAUAAGAAUGCUCAAUCAAGUUUACUACAAAUAAGGUUAAAAAUAAGAUACAAUACCAGCUGGUGGAAUUCGGCAUCUCUAGGUGUCAGAUAUGGAAGCCAACUCUCUCCAAGUUCUUCAAGAAGCUUUUGUUUCUGUUUUAAAAAAAAAAAAAAAGGUAUGACAUGAAAUUAGUCAAAGAAGCAAACAGCAGUUAAAUAAUAAACUAGUUGCAUUAGGAAUUUAAAAAAUGUAAAAAGUUAGUAUUGUUUCACUAGCCAAAAUUUAAGAAAACACAUCUUAAACAAGGAGAAGUACAUGCAACCUCAUCUUAAUUGAGGUUUGUCCACUUAAUUGAAUUUCCCCAAUUUCAGUUUAGUAAUUUCAGAGGAUUAAGUACAGUACUUUUUGGUAUCCUCAGUUCUUCCUUAGGAGAACCUCCCUUACACACUGAAAAAGUACACUCAUCCUUCAGGAUUCUGCAGAACUUUGCCUGAUUUAAAUGCUGGAUCUUGUUUAUUUCUUUGCUUUUCUUUGUUUUCUCCUUCAAAUUCUAGGUGUAGUGGGUGUAAAGCCUAGUGUACCCCAGGGUGUGGUUUAAUAACAUACUCAAAACAAAAUUCAGGAUUGUUUAAGACUAUGUGUGUCAUAUAGUGUCUGUUUAUUCCAGCCAACCAGAAAAGAAAAUGAAACUUCGUCCUCUUUACCUUGUCUCCAAUCCAAUCUUCCAACCUGACUUCAAUGUGGACCAGGAAAUAUGCCUGCCCAAGGAAAUAACAACUCCAAUCUGAAGCUAAUAGUCAUCCACCACCUGACUGUAAAGAAGAGCUUCCCCUCCUUUUUCCAUCUCAUGUUUUUUCUUUUAUCUUUCUUUUUUUCUGAGUGGCUGGGGCAAUUAAUUUGACAGAACUAACAGCUUUCUGAGUAAAAUGAGAAUGUUUUGGUUGUAAUCCACUUAAUAGUCCUAUCUUUUAAGAAAACGAUUAAGAAAAGCAGGUCUGUAACCCAUAAUUUUCCUUCACGUGUGUCUUAAUAAAAUAGAUAGCUGA